CUGAACUCCCCUCUCGUUCAAGAGCUCCCAGAUCCUGCCUUCCAGGAAACAUUAUUGUUGUGGUGGGAGAGGUCACGGCUGGGUGAGGAGAUACCUGAGUGGGAUGGGCUGGAGCGAGACUGCGCUGCUGCUGCAUCUGUCCCACAGGGAAGAGGAUCAAACUGGAUUCAUUCAGUGACUGUCAAGGCAGCUGCUCUCUGUGUCCCAGCUCUCUGGCUGGGAUACAGGGGGCAGGAACUGGUGCAUUAGAGGGAACAGCUCCACGUCCGUAUAGUUCUGGAAAAGAGCACCCAGGCGGUUCACCCGCAUGCACACUUCUCGACCCUGCAACCUGCCAGCACCUGGCACACGCCAUCAAAAUGUGCAACAAAGGACAUGAGAUGGGACCUGUUUAUUUUGUUGCACGUGGCACCAGUUUGCUUAGUGUGAUGUGCUCCAGUCUGCUCAUUUGGGGACCAGGUUUUGGGAUGAGGGGGAGUUUGUGCUGUCACACAAACAACGAAUGAAUCUCCCACAUGCAAUUCAUGCUGCCUCCUCCCCCCCGCCCGCACACCCCGAAUGCCAGGUGCAGCCGGCCCCAUAAGUCUGGCUGCCCCAACAAAUUGGUAAAGCAGCUUCUAGUGGAUUCUGGCUGAUUCUGGCUACGCAUCUGUGACGAACUGGGACUGUUCUUACUGUGGUCUUUGAAUGCUGACAGGGGAGUGUGGCUAGGAUAGUCUGCAUUGGGGGAUGGGAGACUGACCGGAGAAUACCUGAGCAUGGAACAUGAGAACCCAGGAAGGGGUUAGAGGCCAGGUGACACCUUUGCCCAGGAAACUGAACAAAGGCUGUGGGAGGGGUUGCUGAAGGGAGAGUUUCAGGAGCUGGCUGGUGGAAUGGCUGGGAGGCAGACAGGGCUCGGAACUCCCAAGGGGGCUGGGGUGCCCGAGGACCCCAAGAUGGACCUAACUGAGGGGGUCCUGUUUUCUGUGCCUGCGGGACCUGUCUUGAACUGUGUCCCUGUCAUCUAAAUAAACCUUCUGCUUUAC